rfam:Homo sapiens chromosome 1, GRCh38 reference primary assembly.
ACAGGAAAAUGACCUAUGAAUUGACAGACAAUAUAGCUGAGUUUGUCUGUCAUUUCUUUAGGCCAAUAUUCUGU